AGGACGAACGCUGGCGGCGUGCUUAACACAUGCAAGUCGAACGGAAAGGCCCUGCUUUUGUGGGGUGCUCGAGUGGCGAACGGGUGAGUAACACGUGAGUAACCUGCCCUUGACUUUGGGAUAACUUCAGGAAACUGGGGCUAAUACCGGAUAGGAGCUCCUGCUGCAUGGUGGGGUUGGAAAGUUUCGGCGGUUGGGGAUGGACUCGCGGCUUAUCAGCUUGUUGGUGGGGUAGUGGCUUACCAAGGCUUUGACGGGUAGCCGGCCUGAGAGGGUGACCGGGCCACGACUUGGGACUGAGAUACGGCCCAGACUCCUACGGGAGGCAGCAGUGGGGAAUAUUGGCACAAUGGGCGGAAGCCUGACUGCAGCAACGCCGCGUGCGGGAUGACGGCCGUUCGGGUUGUAAACCGUCGUUUCGCCUGUGACGUAAGCGUGAGUGACGGUAAUAGGUAAAGAAGCACGGCGUAACUACGUGCCAGCACGCCGC
rnacentral:rRNA from 1 species